GUUUUUAUUACCUACUAUAAUAGCCUACCUGCAAACCCGACCGGCGACAACAGUAAAAAAUAACAUGCAUUCAUAACAAUUUAUAAUAAUAAUAUAUUUAUUUGUGUUAGCAUGCGAAUACAAAUUGAAUUCGUCUUAACUUGUUUAAAUAUAUAAUGGACUCUUGUUAAAAGUUAUUUCUUUUGUAUUCCUCAAGUUAACAGUAUUCAGUUAAUAGUUCAAAAAUAAAUUCAUCUAUUAAGUGAAAAGUUAAAUUAAAUUAACUUUAUUUUAUUAACUCGAAGAAAAAAAAAAAGAACCGUUACCGCUGACCAACCACUUUUUACUGGCCGUAUUUUUUCCCUUGUUGCCGUGGAGAUUUGGAAAUCAACACAAGUCACCGGUUUUUCGCGUUUGUUGAGAAAACUAGAGGAAAAACCGAAAAAAACGACUCGAUGCGCCAAAACGAAAAAAAAAAAAAAUAAAUACGCUACAAGAAAUUUCCUACAAAGUUUUCGAUUUGAGCGAGAUUUCUGGUAGAAAAGUUAUACAUUACGAACACACACACAAACAUACAAAGAUAUAUCAUAGUAAAAUCAAUAAAGCGCUUCCCUACGCUCUAACCUCUAAAAAAAAAAAAUAACGCGUAAAACCGUAAGUAUAAUUUUUUUUUUUAGACUACAUUCUACAAUAGUUGCC